rnacentral:siRNA from 1 species
AGACGCGGCUAACCGUGGUGUGCC